GUUCGUCGCGUCUGCUGUGAAAUCCUCAGGCUCAACCUGGGGCGUGCAGUGGGUACGGGCGGACUAGAGUGCGGUAGGGGUGACUGGAAUUCCUGGUGUAGCGGUGGAAUGCGCAGAUAUCAGGAGGAACACCGAUGGCGAAGGCAGGUCACUGGGCCGCAACUGACGCUGAGGAGCGAAAGCAUGGGGAGCGAACAGGAUUAGAUACCCUGGUAGUCCAUGCCGUAAACGUUGGGCACUAGGUGUGGGGUCCAUUCCACGGAUUCCGUGCCGCAGCAAACGCAUUAAGUGCCCCGCCUGGGGAGUACGGCCGCAAGGCUAAAACUCAAAGAAAUUGACGGGGGCCCGCACAAGCGGCGGAGCAUGCGGAUUAAUUCGAUGCAACGCGAAGAACCUUACCUGGUCUUGACAUGUCCGGAAUCCUGCAGAGAUGCGGGAGUGCCUUCGGGAAUCGGAACACAGGUGCUGCAUGGCUGUCGUCAGCUCGUGUCGUGAGAUGUUGGGUUAAGUCCCGCAACGAGCGCAACCCUCGUCCUCUGUUGCUAACAGGUUAGGCUGAGCACUCCGAGGAAACUGCCGGUGAUAAGCCGGAGGAAGGUGGGGAUGACGUCAAGUCCUCAUGGCCCUUACAUCCUGGGCUACACACGUGUUACAAUGGUGGUGACAAUGGGUCGCGAUCCCGCAAGGGCUAGCCAAUCCCCAAAAGCCACCUCAGUUUGGAUUGUACUCUGCAACUCGAGUACAUGAAAUUGGAAUCG
rnacentral:rRNA from 1 species